UAAAUAAUUAAUUGUUGAAGUAAUUUUUAAUAGACAUAUAUAUAUUUAUUUAUGAUGAAUUAAUUUAUUAACUAUAGUAGAUAGUAUUGUGAGAGAUUUUUGAAAAAUUGAAAAAUUUUUUGAGAAUAAGUUAUUGUUUGUACCUUUUGUAUUAGGGAUUAAUUAUAAAAAUUAUAAAUUUAUAUUUCCCGAAAAGUUUUGAGCUAUUUUAUUUAUUAAAUAUUGUUUCAGAAAUAUUGGUUAAAUAAUAUAGAAAUGAAAUUUUAUUCGAAAAGUUUGAUAUCUGGUUAUGUAAUUAAAAUUAAAUAUUUUAGAUAUUUUUUGUUUUUUGUUAAAAGUAUUGAUUUUCUUUUUAAGGAUAAGCUUAAUAAGAUUAUAUAAAUUUUUGUUAAUUUAAUUGAAGGUUUAAAAAUUACUAUUUAUUUGUAAUAAAGUAGUUGGAUGAUGUAAUUUUUUAUGAAUAAUUUUUUUAAUUAAUUUUUGUUAGAAGAAUUAAUAUUAAUAUUAGUAUAAAUUUUGAAAUUGUUUUUAUUAUUAAUUAUAUUUAUAAAAUGUAAGAAAUUAAAUAUAUAGGAAUUAGGCAAAGAUUAUUUUUGAAUGUUUAACAAAAACAUUGUAUUUUGUUGGUAAUAAAAUAUAUAACCUGCUCAAUGAUAAUUAAAUUGCUGUGGUAUUUUGACUAUACGAAGGUAUUGAAAUAAGAUUUUAAUUGAGUGCUAAGAGAAUGGUUGAACAAAGAGAGACUUUCUUGAUAUUUAUAAUAAAAGUUGAUUUAAAAAUGAAAAAGUUUUUAUGAAAAUUUGGGACAAGAAGACCCUAUGAAUUUUUAUUAAAAAUUAAUUUUUUAAUUUUUAAUUUAUAUAAAUUAAAUUAAUUUUUAGUUUGAUUGGGGCGAUUUUUAAAGAUUGAGAAUCUUUAAAUGAAGAUGUAAUUAGAACCAUUAUUAUUGGUUGUAUGAGUAAAAUACUCUAGGGAUAACAGCGUUAUUAUUUUGAAUAGUUCAUAUUGAUAAAAUAGUUUGCGACCUCGAUGUUGGAUUAAGAUUCUUAUAUAAUGAAGAAGUUAUAUAAAGAAGUUUGCUCAACUUUUAAAAUCUUACAUGAUCUGAGUUCAAACCGGCGUGAGCCAGGUUGGUUUCUAUCUAAAUUUUAAAUUAUAAUUAUUUUAGUACGAAAGGAAUUGAUAAUUCAAAUGGUUUGAAUAAUUUUUGUUAUGUU
rnacentral:rRNA from 1 species